GCCUAACACAUGCAAGUCGAGCGGUAACAGGAAGUAGCUUGCUACUUUGCUGACGAGCGGCGGACUGGGUGAGUAAUGCCUAGGGAACUGCCCAGUCGAGGGGGAUAACAGUUGGAAACGACUGCUAAUACCUGCAUACGCCCUACGGGGGAAAAGAGGGGAUCUUCGGACCUUCUGCGAUUGGAUGUACCUAGGUGGGAUUAGCUAGUAGUGUGAGGUAAUGGCUCACCUAGGCGACGAUCCCUAGCUGUUCUGAGAGGAUGAUCAGCCACACUGGGACUGAGACACGGCCCAGACUCCUACGNGGAGGCAGCAGUGGGGAAUAUUGCACAAUGGGCGCAAGCCUGAUGCAGCCAUGCCGCGUGUGUGAAGAAGGCCUUCGGGUUGUAAAGCACUUUCAGCGAGGAGGAAAGGUUAAUGGUUAAUACCCGUUAGCUGUGACGUUACUCGCAGAAGAAGCACCGGCUAACUUCGUGCCAGCAGCCGCGGUAAUACGAGGGG
rnacentral:rRNA from 1 species